CCUACGGGGGGCAGCAGUGGGGGAUAUUGCACAAUGGGGGAAACCCUGAUGCAGCGACGCCGCGUGGGUGAAGAAGCGCCUCGGCGCGUAAAGCCCUGUCAGCAGGGAAGAAAAUGACGGUACCUGAAGAAGAAGCCCCGGCUAACUACGUGCCAGCAGCCGCGGUAAUACGUAGGGGGCAAGCGUUAUCCGGAUUUACUGGGUGUAAAGGGGGCGCAGACGGCGAUGCAAGCCAGGAGUGAAAUCCCGGGGCCCAACCCCGGGACUGCACUUGGAACUGCGUGGCGAGAGUGCAGGAGGGGCAGGCGGAAUUCCUGGUGUAGCGGUGAAAUGCGUAGAUAUCAGGAGGAACACCGGUGGCGAAGGCGGCCUGCUGGACUGCAACUGACGUUGAGGCCCGAAAGCGUGGGGAGCAAACAGGAUUAGAUACCCCUGUAGUC
rnacentral:rRNA from 1 species